CUUAAAACCCGAUUUAAAAUGCUAAAUUUUUGAUUUAAAAUUGAAAAGGCAAAAACAUGAGUCGGACUAUUUAUUUAUACUUAAUUAUAUGUAUCAUUACAGUAGUUGUUUUUUGGGAAAAACUUGAAAAGAAACGAGAAAAGGAUAAAUACAAGGAAAAGCCAGUAAAAAAGGAAAAGAUUUGUGCGUGUUUAUAAUGUAUUUAGUAUCCUCAUAUGUUUAUAAAAAUAUUUUUUCUAAGAUUUCAUAUAUUUCCAAUAAAAUCUUAAACAAAUUUUA